CACGUAGGAGCCAAGCGUUAUCCGAAUUCACUGGGCGUAAAGCGCGUGUAGGCGGCUUGAUAAGUUGGAUGUAAAAGCUCCUGGCUCAACUGGGAGAGGACGUUCAAUACUGUCAGGCUAGAGGACGGCAGAGGGAGGUGGAAUUCCCGGUGUAGUGGUGAAAUGCGUAGAUAUCGGGAGGAACACCAGUGGCGAAGGCGGCCUUCUGGGCCGUUACUGACGCUCAGACGCGAAAGCUAGGGGAGCGAACGGG
rnacentral:rRNA from 1 species